rnacentral:rRNA from 1 species
CCAAGGCAUUGAUGGGUAGUUGGUCUGAGAGGACGACCAGCCACAUUGGGACUGAGAUACGGCCCAGACUCCUACGGGAGGCAGCAGUGGGGAAUCUUGGACAAUGGACGAAAGUCUGAUCCAGCGACACCGCGUGGGGGAUGAAGGCUCUCGGGUUGUAAACCCCUUUUCUGGGGGAAGAAUAAGGUUGGGAGGAAAUGCCCAUCCGAUGACGGUACUCCAGGAAUAAGCAUCGGCAAACUUCGUGCCAGCAGCCGCGGUAAGACGAAGGAUGCGAGCGUUAUCCGGAAUUACUGGGCGUAAAGGGCGUCUAGGCGGUUGGGUAAGUCACUUGUGAAAGCCCUCGGCUUAACCGAGGAAAGUCUCGUGAUACUGCCCAGCUUGGGUGUAGGAGAGGGGAGUGGAACUCACAGAGUAGCGGUGGAAUGCGUAGAUACUGUGAGGUACCCCGAUGGCGAAGGCAACUCCCUGGCCUACUACCGACGCUGAAGCGCGAAAGCGUGGGGAGCAAAGGGGAUUAGAUACCCCCGUAGUCCACGCCCCAAACGAUGUUCACUUGGUGUCGGCCGCAAAUAUAGGUCGGUGCCGGAGCUAACGCGUUAAGUGAACCGCCUGAGGAGUACGGCCGCAAGGCUAAAACUCAAGAGAAUUGACGGGUCCCCGCACAAGCGGUGGAGCACGUGGUUUAAUUCGAUAUUAAGCGAAGAACCUCACCCAGGCUUGACAUACUAGUGGUAGGAACCUGAAAGGGGGACGACCCUGCCUUCGGGUAGGGAGCUAGUACAGGUGAUGCAUGGCUGUCGUCAGCUCGUGUCGUGGGAUGUAGGGUUAAGUCCCGAAACGAGCGCAACCCUUGUCGUUAGUUGCCAGCGGGUAAUGCCGGGGACUCUAGCGAGACUGCUGGUGAAUAGCCGGAGGAAGGCGGGGAUGACGUCAAGUCAUCAUGUCCCUUAUGCCUGGGGCGACACACAUGCUACAAUGGGGGGUACAGAGGGUCGCAAUACCGUAAGGUGGAGCCAAUCUCAAAAAACCCUCCUCAGUUCGGAUUGAGGUCUGCAACUCGACCUCAUGAAGCCGGAAUCGCUAGUAAUCGUAGGUCAGCCAUACUACGGUGAAUAUGUACUCGGGGAUUGUACACACCGCCCGUCACACCAACCGAGUGGGGGGUACCUGAAGUCGUCUCCAUGAGGCGCCGAGGGUAACCUUCGCAAGAGGGGUGAAGUCGUAACAAGGUA